GGACGAACGCUGGCGGCGUGCUUAACCCAUGCAAGUCGAACGGAAAGGCCCUGCUUUUGUGGGGUGCUCGAGUGGCGAACGGGUGAGUAACACGUGAGUAACCUGCCCUUGACUUUGGGAUAACUUCAGGAAACUGGGGCUAAUACCGGAUAGGAGCUCCUGCUGCAUGGUGGGGGUUGGAAAGUUUCGGCGGUUGGGGAUGGACUCGCGGCUUAUCAGCUUGUUGGUGGGGUAGUGGCUUACCAAGGCUUUGACGGGUAGCCGGCCUGAGAGGGUGACCGGCCACAUUGGGACUGAGAUACGGCCCAGACUCCUACGGGAGGCAGCAGUGGGGAAUAUUGCACAAUGGGCGGAAGCCUGAUGCAGCAACGCCGCGUGCGGGAUGACGGCCUUCGGGCUGUAAACCGCUUUCGCCUGUGACGAAGCGUGAGUGACGGUAAUGGGUAAAGAAGCACCGGCUAACUACGUG
rnacentral:rRNA from 1 species